UCACUGGUGGUUUAGCAGUUGAGGAUCCAGCAUUAUCACUGCUGUGGCGCAGGUUCAAUCCCUGGCCCAUGAA
rnacentral:tRNA from 1 species